GACGUAGGGCGCGAGCGUUGUCCGGAUUUAUUGGGCGUAAAGAGCUCGUAGGCGGCUUGUUGCGUCGACUGUGAAAACCUGCGGCUCAACCGUGUGGUCUGCAGUCGAUACGGGCAGGCUAGAGUUCGGUAGGGGAGAUCGGAAUUCCUGGUGUAGCGGUGAAAUGCGCAGAUAUCUGGAGGAACACCGGUGGCGAAGGCGGCAUUCUGGACCGACAUUGACGCUGAGGAGCGAAAGCCAGGGGAGCAAACGGG
rnacentral:rRNA from 1 species